rnacentral:rRNA from 1 species
UACGGAGGGAGCAAACGUUGUUCGGAUUUACUGGGCGUAAAGGGUGUGUAGGCGGUCUUGUAAGUCAGGGGUGAAAUCCCUCGGCUCAACCGAGGAACUGCCUUUGAGACUGCAGGACUUGAGGGCGUGAGAGGAGACUGGAAUUCCUAGUGUAGCAGUGAAAUGCGUAGAUAUCAAGUAGAACACCAGUGGCGAAGGCGAGUCUCUGGACAUUUCCUGACGCUGAGGCACGAAAGCCAGGGGAGCAAGCGGG